GGCCGCGGGAAUUCCAUUCAAGCCUAACACAUGCAAGUCGAACGGAAAGGCCUCCUUUUUGCUGGGGGUACUCGCGUGGCGAACGGGUGAGUAACACGUGGGUGAUCUGCCCUGCACUUCGGGAUAACCUUGGGAAACUGGGUCUAAUACCGGAUAUGAACGGUCUUUGGUGUGAUUGUUGGAAAGAUUUUUUCGGUGUGGGAUGAGCUCGCGGCCUAUCAGCUUGUUGGUGGGGUAAUGGCCUACCAAGGCGUCGACGGGUAGCCGGCCUGAGAGGGUGUACGGCCACAUUGGGACUGAGAUACGGCCCAGACUCCUACGGGAGGCAGCAGUGGGGAAUAUUGCACAAUGGGCGCAAGCCUGAUGCAGCGACGCCGCGUGGGGGAUGAAGGCCUUCGGGUUGUAAACUCCUUUCGCUAGGGACGAAGCCUUUUUUAAGGUGACGGUACCUGGAUAAGAAGCACCGGCUAACUACGUGCCAGCAGCCGCGGUAAUACGUAGGGUGCAAGCGUUGUCCGGAAUUACUGGGCGUAAAGAGCUCGUAGGUGGUUUGUCGCGUCGUCUGUGAAAUUCCGGGGCUUAACUCCGGGCGUGCAGGCGAUACGGGCAUAACUUGAGUGCUGUAGGGGAGACUGGAAUUCCUGGUGUAGCGGUGAAAUGCGCAGAUAUCAGGAGGAACACCGAUGGCGAAGGCAGGUCUCUGGGCAGUAACUGACGCUGAG
rnacentral:rRNA from 1 species